AUUGAACGCUAGCGGGAUGCUUUACACAUGCAAGUCGAACGAGUGGCGGACGGGUGAGUAAUAUAUCGGAACCUGCCCAGUAGCGGGGGAUAACUACUCGAAACAGUGGCUAAUACCGCAUACCAUCGGCACGGCCGAUAUCGGUUUGGCUAGUUGGUGGGGUAAAGGCUCACCUAGGCAACGAUCCGUAGCUGGUUUGAGAGGACGACCAGCCAAACUGGGACUGAGACACGGCCCAGACUCCUACGGGAGGCAGCAGUGGGGAAUAUUGGACAAUGGGGGAAAGCCUGAUGCAGCCAUCCCGCGUGUAUGAGAAGGCCUUCGGGUUGUAAAGUACUUUUGGCAGAGAAGCGGUAUCUGCAGAAUAAGCACCGGCUAACUACGUGCCAGCAGCCGCGGUAAUUC
rnacentral:rRNA from 1 species